CAGGAUCCAGGAAGGAGUAAAAAAUGGGAGUUUGGCUCCAGAAUAUUCUUCCACGGCGUUGGAGCUGCAUCCAAGGACACCCAAGGUCAUCCCAAAGGGCCGCGUGCUCACCAGCAGGCUAUUUGGAACGCUGCUCCACUUGUGCUGAAAAUUCGCGCUUUGACUUCGUCCCAUCAAUUCCAGGGCCAUUCUGGAUCAAAUACAGAAAAUGGUGGCUUUUACAGCAAUGCUCUGCGAUUGGCUGGCAACCAGUUCAGGGAGUACCCUGCCUCUUGCCCGAUGAUAGCUGGGAUAGGCUCCAGCACGCCCGCGACCCUAGUGAGGAGAAGCGGCUCAGAAAAUGGAUGGACGGACAUUAGUAAUGCUGUGUUUUGACAACUUAACCCUUUAACACCAAAGCCUCAAAAUGUCUGUCUGGACUUUUUUGCUUAUUUUGACUAUGAAAGGGUCAGAAAAUGUCCUGUGAAUAAAAAUGUUUUUGCCCCUUUUCCCAGAAAAGAUUUCAAUAUUUAGCAGGUUAGGGUUAGGGUUACGUUAGAUAAAAGGGUUAACAGUGAAGCCAACGCUAGCUAGCUAGCUCUUGGUUUCAACAACAACUGACAUGUGACAUGUAACGUGAUUUAUUUUCUUUAUAAAAUAAUGAAAAAUAAGGAACGAAGUUUUCGAGUUAUCAAAAUGGGUAUUGUAAAUAACUGACAGUUGAAAAUUAUUUUUACUUUUUAUUUUUCACUUAAAGAUAAAAUAUGCAAGUUUUCAAACUGCUGAUAUUAGUAGAUUCAUUUCAGUACCCGCCCCUGCCCACACCCCAACCCUUGUCCCGCCACCUCACCUCUCUCCAAGAAGAAAUUGGUUCAUUGCGCUCGCCUGGCUGCCUCAGAGAGUUGUCCGCGAGCUCGUCGAUGGCCCACUGGAAUUGACCGCUGUGUCCCACUCGCCUAGUUUGAUGUAUUUUGUGGAAUGUACAGUCAAUUAAAAAUAUGAUAAUGACAGUUUAAACAUACUGUAUAUAACAGUGUUUUUGUUUUGGGAAAACUGCUAAUUGUACCUUCAAGCACAAUUCUGCACUUUUUUUUUGUCUUUUACUUAAUAUCCCUGUAAAGUGAAAAAAAUGUCUUGUAAAUUUUAUACACCACAGAGAAAAGUGUUGUUAAUACUCCUUCCAAAUGUAAUGAUUUAAAAAAAAUCAGCAAAGUAUAUAAAAUUUGUCAUCAAAUUCAUGAAAAAUCAAGCUAUCACAAAGCCCUGAAAAGGUCCUGACCAUCUGUUGUCACAUCAGAUUUGUUUUUCUCCUCUCUCUUCUCUCCGUGAAAUGCAUGCACUCAUGGCUGACAACGAGGCGCUCUAAAGCAGACACACCAGUGGACUAGUCGAAGGGUUGGAGGCAUAGCUAGCUGGCUAACUGCUCAUUGCAAUUGCACUGGAUAAUCGCUGAUGUGAACAAAGGAGUUCAAGUUCUCAAAUAGUGGGGAAAAGGGGCGACUCAUGCCAGGGGCCAAGUGUGUCUCUGGGCCCUAUUUUAGCCUCGCCCAAAAAAAAUAAA